GAGGCAUGCUGGAGGUAUCAGAAGUGCGAAUGCUGACAUAAGUAACGAUAAUGCGGGUGAAAAACCCGCACGCCGGAAGACCAAGGGUUCCUGUCCAACGUUAAUCGGGGCAGGGUGAGUCGACCCCUAAGGCGAGGCAGAAAUGCGUAGUCGAUGGGAAACGGGUUAAUAUUCCCGUACUGGUGAUAAUUGCGAUGGGGGGACGGAGAAGGCUAGGCUAUCCGGGCGACGGUUGUCCCGGUUUAAGGAUGUAGGCAGGUGAAUUAGGCAAAUCCGGUUCACUACAUGCUGAGGUCCGACGACGAGUCACUACGGUGAUGAAGUAGCUCAUGCCCCGCUUCCAGGAAAAGCCUCUAAGCUCUAGAUUAUCAUUAAUCGUACCCCAAACCGACACAGGUGGUCAGGUAGAGAAUACUCAGGCGCUUGAGAGAACUCGGGUGAAGGAACUAGGCAAAAUGGUGCCGUAACUUCGGGAGAAGGCACGCUGGCAUUAGGUGAAGUGAUUUACUCAUGGAGCUGAAGCCAGUCGCAGAUACCAGCUGGCUGCAACUGUUUAUUAAAAACACAGCACUGUGCAAACACGAAAGUGGACGUAUACGGUGUGACGCCUGCCCGGUGCUGGAAGGUUAAUUGAUGGGGUUAUCCGUAAGGAGAAGCUCUUGAUCGAAGCCCCAGUAAACGGCGGCCGUAACUAUAACGGUCCUAAGGUAGCGAAAUUCCUUGUCGGGUAAGUUCCGACCUGCACGAAUGGCGUAAUGAUGGCCAGGCUGUCUCCACCCGAGACUCAGUGAAAUUGAACUCGCUGUGAAGAUGCAGUGUACCCGCGGCAAGACGGAAAGACCCCGUGAACCUUUACUAUAGCUUGACACUGAACAUUGAGCCUUGAUGUGUAGGAUAGGUGGGAGGCUUUGAAGCGUGGACGCCAGUCUGCGUGGAGCCAACCUUGAAAUACCACCCUUUAAUGUUUGAUGUUCUAACGUUGCCCCAUUAUCUGGGGUGCGGACAGUGUCUGGUGGGUAGUUUGACUGGGGCGGUCUCCUCCCAAAGAGUAACGGAGGAGCACGAAGGUUGGCUAAGCAUGGUCGGACAUCAUGCGGUUAGUGCAAAGGCAUAAGCCAGCUUGACUGCGAGAGUGACGGCUCGAGCAGGUACGAAAGUAGGUCUUAGUGAUCCGGUGGUUCUGAAUGGAAGGGCCAUCGCUCAACGGAUAAAAGGUACUCCGGGGAUAACAGGCUGAUACCGCCCAAGAGUUCAUAUCGACGGCGGUGUUUGGCACCUCGAUGUCGGCUCAUCACAUCCUGGGGCUGAAGUAGGUCCCAAGGGUACGGCUGUUCGCCGUUUAAAGUGGUACGCGAGCUGGGUUUAGAACGUCGUGAGACAGUUCGGUCCCUAUCUGCCGUGGGCGUUGGAAGAUUGAAAGGGGCUGCUCCUAGUACGAGAGGACCGGAGUGGACGCACCACUGGUGUUCGGGUUGUCAUGCCAAUGGCAUUGCCCGGUAGCUAAGUGCGGAAGAGAUAACCGCUGAAAGCAUCUAAGCGGGAAACUUGCCUUGAGAUGAGUCUUCCCUGACUCUUUAAGAGUCCUAAAGGAACGUUUAAGACUAAGACGUUGAUAGGUUGGGUGUGUAAGCGUAGCGAUACGUUGAGCUAACCAAUACUAAUGAACCGUGAGGCUUAACCUGACAACACCGAAGGUGUUUUAG
rnacentral:rRNA from 1 species